AUAAAAUUUGCUCGCAGCGAAAUUUCCUCCAUUUUAAUUUUUCCGAAGAAUUGAACACAAAGAGUCGAAUAUAUGUAAUAAUACAUGAAUGCAUUUUCAGAAUUUAUCGCCAAGCUACGAAGAAAUAUACGAUUCUUGGAAAAUUAAAUUAUCUGCUUUAACGAAAUCCUUCAGAAACAUUAUCCAUCUUAAUCAACACUAAUUAAUAAGAAUAUCCCACUUAUCCAUAAAUAUCUAAAUACAACAAGCGAGACAACGAGUGAAAAACGAUGAUCCCCUCGACGAUUUACGACGAAUUUCCAGAAUUUUAGGAUCGCGCAGAAACGGUACAAUUCCCCCUCCCCCGGGUGUUUCGAAAAUUAAAUUACACGAUGGUACGCUCGAUGCAAUAAAGUGGAAUCUUCCCUCGCAGGGCAGCGAGUACGUCUUUGCUCGUUUACAUGUGCUUUCUCGCAGCCGUGGUCCGUCCACAUGGGGCUGCACUGAUAUACGGCCAGAAAAUGCGGCUCUGAAUGUUAUUUACGGCUUCGUAGGCGCGUUAAGGCGUCCGUGUACACCCCCACGCUCGCGUUUAAUAAGUUAAUUUAGAGGCUCGCGUCUCUACGACUUAAUUGCACGCACGUAUGAGCUACGCCCUCUGCCCGCCUGUAAUCUCCAUAAGAAAAGAAGCCCUUGGUGUAUCCAGAGCUAUUCUCUUCUCUUCUCGACCAUUUCUUCUUUGUCAGUUCGUUGGCAGAGAUUCAAUAGGAAAAUGAGAUUAAAAUUUCGAUCGAGUACAAAUUGAAACAUUGAAUUUCACGUGUGUUUCUUUUUUAAAGUGGAAGAUCGAAUUUGUAAUAUAAUGUUUGAUAUGGUGGUAUAUUCCAAGAUGUAAUUUUCAAUUCGAGGAAAUAAGAGGAUACUUAUUAUUUCAAAACGAUGAAAGGAAGAUGAUAUAAUUAAAUGUAAAAUUUAGUAUGAAAAAUGUAGAGAUUCAGUUUUGUCAAAUUUCCUGCGAGUAAAACAAAUAUGAAUUGAAAAUUUGUGGUAUAGAAAUACGGAGCAUACGUUACAUAAUGCGUAUUAAAUGUUAAAUUACCGAUUCUUUUACAUCGCAUAUGUAACCGAUCCCGAUAUAAAUUCGAUAUAAUAUAACUCGUAAAAUAUUCACAAUUAAUUUGUCACGACGAUUAGAGGUACAAUGUACCGGAUAUUUAAUACGGCUCGAAAUGACGAAGAUAAUCGAAUCUGUUUGCAUAAAUUACCGACGAGCUUAAUAAUCGAGUUCGAUGCACCGGUAUAAUUAACAUAUUCCAGUCCAGUUCCAAAUUAAAGAAAGAAAAAAAAAGAAGGAAUUUCGUUUCUUCAUUUUUACACGAACGAUAUUUACAGUGAUAUAUCGAUAUUCGAUAUCAACUGUCAAACGUGGAACGAUCACAAUUUCACGUGACUUGAACGAAGAGAGAACUGGAGCAAUCCCUUCUUCCAUGAAGAAAUUGCUGCAACGAAGAAAUAUUAGGUUGUCCCAAAAAUUCUUUUUAUUUUUACCUUUUUCAUUGUUUUACACACUUGUUCUUUCAGGAUUACUCACACGAUAAUUUAAACAAAAGACGUCCAAAGCAUCAGAGUUUCAUCCAUGCUAUUCUUUUUGAAGAAACCAAUAUUUUUUUUACAAAAUAAAAAUAGUUUAUAAUCCAAUCAACUUAAAAUUCGUUCUAUAUUAUCAUUAAUUGAUAAAUUAAACAAUCUAACUUGAUCUAAUUUAUUUAAUAUAGAUUGAAUAUUUUAGCUGUAAAAAUAAAUUGUGCGUUAUGUUCUCGAAUCAGAAUCGUCGAACAGCACGUGCAAGAAGUGAACGAAACAUUUUUUGGGACAAGGAAAAUAUUGCAAUAAACAAGCGGCAAAGCUGUCUAACGCGCAUUCUUCGGAUUCCCGAAAUUGCAAUUCCAUGAUAGAAUUUCGGGCGUUUUCGUCGACCAGUUGGUAAACUGGGUUCGGAAAUACGCGAACCGAGGUUUGGGGUUGUAUUGAUCGGUGCUGGCUGCGCGGGCUAGUGACUGAAACAGUGGGCACCUCUAGUCACCGAACUUGUUACUUUGUAAACGAAAUUUCGACAGUACGCAUAAUCGACCAUUUUCAUAACGUAUCAAUGUCUUUUCCGGGUUUUUUUAUUUCUUUUUUCUUUUUUUUUUUUUUCAAUGAACGAAAACGAUCAUACAAUUACGAUGAAUUUGUGGCAUAGAAAAUUUGGAUAUUUGUAAUUUAAAUCAUUCAUAGAUCGUUUUCGAAGGAAAAUUCAAAGAUUUUUAUUUUUUUAAAACAUUUGACGAGGAGAAUCUUUGAUAUUGAUAUUCUUUUAUUGAAUUUUUCUAGGUUUUAUUGAGAAACUGUAAAAAGAAUAACAGUAAUAUAAACCACGAAUGGAUUGAGAUCUCUCUUGAGAGAGUUAAUUAAUUAAUUAAUUAACCAAUCAUCUCGAGGAUGGUUCAUAUAUUCGUCUCAUAAAUUGAAAUUAAAAAAGAGAAUUAAAUUGGAAAACUUGGUAUAUCUGUCUAAAUAAAUAUUGCACACAAAUUGCAACUUAAUAAAAAGACACAGAUAGAUACAAUAUUGUAUCUUUUACAUGAAUCAAAAAAAAAAAAAAAAAAAGACAUAGAAUUCAAAGGCAAAAUUGACAAAUCCAUCUUUCUAAUUUUUCACCACGAUUUCAACUACGAUUUAAAAAAAAGACAAUUUUUCCACGAUAUAACAACGUUACUUUACACUAUCCUUUGCACAAAGGAUUAUCUCGGCGUAUUGAAUUUUAAAAUCGCUAUCCUUAUCAAUCCUUCCCAAUUCUCUUCUCUUCCAACAAACACUUCAAACUCGCAAAAUCACGCAAACAGCUUCAAAGCUCCCCCGCAAAAAAAGGAAGGAACUCUUAACGUGCCAUUACCAGGACUCAAAAAAACAAUAUAGAUAAGAUAAAAUUUUCCAAACUGUUGCCAAAGAUGAAAUGCAAGCGAUUCGAAACGAAAUCGACAAAUCGUAGCAGACCGUGCCAGAGAUAUCACUGCGAAGAUGAUACCGUGCGAUUAAGUAAUCUGUAACAGUUUACUCUGCUCGUGUCACGUCCACCUGUAAUCGAAUUAAAAUCGAAACGAGGAACAUUAAGAGGAAAAAAGAGGAGAGAGAGAAAGGGGGAAGAAACCGCGAACGGAGAAAUACAGUGUCGGUGAAAGAUUACACGUUCCAUGAUAGUCUGGCGAGGGUGGAAAUGGGGAAGGCGGGUGGCGCGAUAACCCGUGAUUACCAGAAACGCGAGGGUAGAAAAGAAUCGGAUCGAUGCUCGUCGUCGUCGUCGUCGUCGUCGUCGUCGUCGUCGGUUGAGCCAAUUAAUCUGUGAAGUUCGCGCAAGAUUGCUCCAUUCAGGUUUACAUCUGGAUGGAGAGAAAAGAAGAGGAUGCUUUCCUCCCUCGUUUUCCUCCUCCAAGUUUUCGCGUAUAUCAUAGUUAUAUUAUAGGGAAAAGUAUUUCAAGAGGGGGAGAAUUUUAUAUGGAUUCGAUUAAAAUUCGUAGUGAAUGAGAUCGCUGGAUAUCGCGCACGUGAGAGUUGAAUUUAUAAUAAAACGAGUUUAUAAUGGAUCAUCCUUUGAAUGAAAAAUCAUAAAGCCGAGAAGGAAUCGAAUCAUCCCAUCCGUCGACACCAAGGAUCUUUAAUCCAGCUUUUAUCGCGGCCAUCGUGGAUACGUGAUCACGGACAAGAGAUUUACCUCGAAGCGCUUCACCGUACGUGGGAAUCCGUGACGAUGAUGGUGGUGCUGGCCAACCCCUAUUCCGUGGAAUCGGUAAGCUUUGGAACAUCGGCGCAGUUACUUUUACCUUUACGCCACGGUCAACGUACGGUUAAGAUGGUUUUAAACGAGUCGCGUUACAACACGAGCCGGUUCAGUGUUCGAAAGCUGAAAGAGGAGGCAAUGAAAGCGGAAGCGAUGUCACCGAGGAAGAGGAGACGCGCGCGCGACGUCGUCGAAAUAAUGGCUCCUUUGAAACACGAUUGCCUUUUCCCUUUAACGACGCCUACGUGUCAAUGGGUCGGUCAUGCUGCACCUGAGACCGAUUACGACUUCUCUUUCGCGUGUGUGCACGCGUGUGUGUGUGUUUGUGCGCGAGUGUACCAUCAUAGAGGACGUAAUGCAACACCGGGGGCGCACGAAUGCGUUUACAACGAUAGGUAUGCGAUAUCGGUAUCGAUUUGCUCGAAAUCAAAGACUCGAGAAACGAGGAUUUGGUGGGGUUGGGAGAAAUACAUGAGUCGGUUUAGAAAGUUGGAAAUGGAUUAGAGAGCAUUAGGCCAUUAUUUUAUUUCUUUUACUUUUUUUUUUUUUUUACGAAUGGAAAAUGAGUGGAUGAUUAUUGAUGAUUCUUCUUGAAAGAAUAAUCAAUCUAUUUGUAAUCUUUUGGAUCAAUUUUUUGGAGAAAUUUUAUAGGGAUGGAAUUGGCGAACGUUUAGGGUAUAAAAUUUUAUAGGUAAUAGAUAAUGAUAGGUCGUUUUGUAAGGAACUUUUCAACCUGACUCGAUAUCAAAAUUUUAUUUUUGUAUCGGAACCCAUAUAUUGACAGCAGCUUGGAAACUUUAACAUCGUAUGGAAUGGUUCAAUAUAAGGAUGGUAGUUAGCCUAAAUCGAAUGCUAGAAUCGUGUGGGUCUGUGUCUUUGGACUCGGUAUACUAGCAAGAUUCUAUAGACUCGGAGUGAUUCAAUAUAAAUUCCAUCACAAGUGAGCCAAGGCAGUCUUGAUCACGAAUCUUGGCAAUAAUAGUUCGGAAUCGUAGUUGCACAAAUCACAAGUCUCGAUGUUAAAAAUUCCACACAGUUAUAAAAUUAACACAAGUUAUAAGUCUUUAUAUAAACUUCAAAUAUUCACUGCAUACAAGACUAAAUUUUCACGAAUGUAAUUUAAACAAAAGAUUCGCCUCGUUCCUCGAAUAUUGUACUCGUUUCUCGAAAAACUGUUGAAAAGAAAUUUACAUUUGCCAGAAGCGUGGAGACAUCCUUCAUGGACGAGAUGGAAUAAAGUAUUGAUAGAGAACGUUCCAAGAAUUGCAGACGGCAAAAAAGGAAAAAGAAAUCGUAUAUACUGUGUGCAAAUUGAACGUGGCUACUCUGGGGGAAAAUAAAUCCUUUCGAUGUCCAAAGUGAGGAAGACACGCGUACGUAGUAAUAAAAAUCAUCUUAUCUAAAAUCGGCAGGAUGGAAGGCAGCGAGGCAUCGUGUAUAAUAAUGAAGAAAUAAAUUGGCAAAAGUGCGUGCAACAGCGGCCAGUUACGAAGGGAGGAAGGGUCGAUGGAAAAAAAGAAGAGGAAGAAGAAGAAGAAGAAGAAAAAAGGAGAAGCACGCGGGCCACGAAAAAGGGUAGGCGGAACAUCCGAGGCUGGGAAAAUGCGCGCGUGCGUUUUUUCCACGCGCCUGGGUGUAUAUAGAGAGACGGGGAAUCUCAUUUGGGCUUUUUUACCGGCGAUCGGUUAAACAGCGCGUUCGAGACCGUUCAAUCGAACAGGAUCGGGCAGAAGGGAAGUUUCAACGGCUGUGGCCACCACGCGAAAAAUACUUUCUCCCGCGAGCGUUCUCUCUUUUCUGUACCCAGCCUCGAAACCUACCGAUUGCUUUCAUCGGCCGAUUUCAUCGUUAAAGGGGGGGGAAAGCGAAUGUAUCGAAGCCAAGGGGAUGAGGAUCGGUCAGCGAGCGAUAAUUUUCCUCGGCAGCGUAUCUAAAUUGAAAUCGUUGUCGAGAUUAUUACUCGUCGAGAAUUCGAUCCCCUUUCUCGCCGAUCGGCCGUCACUAAUUACGUUUUUAUUACGGGUUUGUUAUUUCAUUGAUAAUAACGAUGACGAUGACGACGAUGAAGAGAUGUACACGAAAGGAAAAAUUAGUAGGAAAGGAAGGAAUAAAAGCUUCUCUCGAUAGAGAUGGAAUCGUAAAUGCUUUCAUCGAUGAAAAGUGGUUUCGAGAACGCUUUUUAACACAUUGAGAUCGAGUUAUAUCGAGAAUGUAAUCUUGAAAAAAAUUGUUCCACGCCAUCCACAGUUUUUUCACGCGCAAAUUUUAAUCUCUUCGAUUCGAUUCCUCGAAUCAUCUCGCUUUCUUCCACCCCUUCGAGAAUCUCUUCGAUAUAUCGAGAUGAAAUAAUUUAAAGAUCGAGUAAAAAUUUUCCUGGCAAUCUUUUACAUUUCGAAACUUUAUUUCUCGUUCUCCCUCGUUCUCCCUCUUAUCCACCCAACAAUAUUUUUUCGCGGUAAAUAUUGCGCGCAUAUAUUUUCUCGGGGAAAACCCGGGUUUGUUAGCACAGCUACCGGGGAUACCUGAGAUAACGUGCCUAUAUCUCGGGAAGCAUACAUAAAGAAUUACUUGAUUCUCACGGAGAGCGACUUUUUCCCUGCUCCUCUUUUUAUUUCCCUAUCUGACACGCGUUUCACGGAGGCAGGCCAGGAAUCGCUAUUUUUAAAACGACGGGCAAACAGGGUUAGCGGCGUGGUGAAUAAGAAAAACUUUAAAAAAAAAAAAAAAUCUUGUAUCUUUUAGCAUCCGACAAGCCCAAAAAUUAUUCGAAUUACGUUGAAGGAGAAAGGAAGAAGGGAGGAAAAUUACGUAAACGUCAUCGAAUAGAAUGAUGAAACAUUUGACAUUCAUCAAGAAGAUAUUGUGAAGUUUAUUCAUAGAGAAUUUUUUUUUUAUUAUUAAAAAGUGUUCAAACAAAAGUGUAUUGCGUGUAAAGUUUUAUUAAUUAUAUAGUUUCAAGAAGUCAGAGUUUUAUAUUAAAAAGUAGAAGUUAAAAUUUGUUAUAACGCUUCGAUCACUCUUCUUUUCUCUCUCUCUUUUUUUCUGUAUAAAAUUUACACAUUACAAUUUGUAAUUGUCGAGAGAAUAAUUUAGCAAAACGACGUGUAACAAAUAAAAAUCAUUCGAAUCGUUAAUCGAGCGAAAGAAAAUUAUUGUAAUUUGAAAAUCGUGAAACGAUUAAAAUGUAUUAUAAUUAAAAUAUAAGUAUCGGGCGCGAAACUUAAUCGAACUAACUUUUCAAAUCGAUCAUUGGCAAACUUAUCAAUCACGAGAGAAAUUUAAUCGAAACGGUUCAUAAUUACAAACUUCGAAUCAAAUCAAAGAGAAAAUUUUCGCAUUAACCUAUAUAUAUAUAUUAUAUAUAUAAAACUGCAUCGAUCGAAAAGUGUAUUUCGAUAUUAAUGUAAAACUUAAUAACUCGUGAAGCUAAAGAAUUCGAAUUUAAUACAAAGUUGUGUCUGAAGCGGGGAUCAAUAGAUCUUUCAACAGCGUUUCCAAUUCAUCUUGACAAGGAGAACGAGGAACGAUAUUUCCUCGCUCUUUCGUAUCGCGUAAAGGAAGCAUCUUCACUCGAUCGGGAAAUACUAAGUAACAGUAAUGCUACGAAACGUAAAGGAAGCCCUUUUGUAUGCAAAUACACGCGACUACAACUGGUAACAAGAGGUUGGGGGAGGAGGGAUGCGUAAUGCGACCCGUUGCAUUUCUCUCGUAUCCUCCUCCUCCUCCUCCUCCUCCUCCUCCUCCUCCUCCUCCUCCUUCGCUUCUUGUUCACUUUCCACCACCACCCUCUCGAUCUCGUCAUCCAACGAUCUCGAUUCAAUUCGCCUCGCGAUAAAAUCGUUCGUUUUUCUAAACGUCCGUUUUCGUGAGGGCAAACCCGGGGGCUUGGUUCUCGAGAUCUCUGUGGAAAAAGGGGCUCGGCUAUAAGGGGACGUCAAGCAUCCUUGAAAAUCCUUCGAGAGGUCUAUUUUGUCGAAUUUAAUAAUCCCAGUUUUUUUUUUCUUCUUCUUCCUUUUCUCUUUCUCUCUUCGGAUGAAGAAGAGACGAAAGAAAAUUACGGGGGUGGAAAAAUAAGCGUGUUGUUAAUUGCGAGAUGUAAAUUAGAAUUGGCAUUGUCUAUAAUCGAUUGAAUGUGAACGAGAGGAAUUGAAUUAGAUACGUCGCGAAGCUAAAAAUGGGAUAAAAUUAAAAAAAUAUAUUUAAAAAUUGAAAUUGACGCUUUAAUUAUUAUACCUCGGUUCAACGAUCCAACUUUUUUUUCGAUAUAAUUUUUUCCCUGAAUUGAAUUUCGUCGGAAUUAGGAGUCUCUCGAUUUCGUUUAUUUUUAUACGAAUGAAUUUUUCAUUUCAAU